rnacentral:lncRNA from 1 species
AUGAUUUUUAUUUUUUCCAUUAUACUUGGUUUACAGUGUUUGUUCUGUCAUUUUUAAUUCCCUGGCUAGUAUAUUGUGUUAUGCAUUAUCAGAUGCACUGUUUUUUUUUUUUUUUUCUUUUUCAGGCCACACAUGCGGCAACUGGAGGUUCCCAGGCUAGGAGUCAAAUUGGAGCUGCUGCUGCUGGCCUACACCGCAGUCACAGCAACACAAGAUCCAAGCUAUGUCUUCAACCUUCACCACAGCUCACAGCAUUGCCAGAUCCUUAACCCACUGAGCAAGGCCAGGGAUUGAACCCUCAUCCUCAUAGAUACUAUUUGGGUUCCUCACUGCUGAGCCACACUGGAAAAUCCCCAGAUGCACUUUUUUUGGCUUUUUUAGGGCCACACCCGCAGCAUAUGGAGGUUCCCAAGCAGGGGUUGAAUUGGAGCUAUAGCUGCUGGUCUACGCCACAGCAAUGCGGGGUCUGAGCCAUGUCUGUGACCUACACCAUAGCUCAGGCAAUGCCAGAUCCUUAGCCCACUGAGUGAGGGCAGGGAUUAAACCCACAGCCUCAUGGUUCCUAGUGAGAUUCUUUUCCACUGCACCUCAACAGGAAUUCCCCAAAACAGAGUAUUUUAAAGAGGACAGACAUCUUUAUUAAAUCAACUUAUUAAAAUUGAGUUUUCCUAGCUAGAAAUAUCUUAAAUCUCUCAAAGUUCAUAUGUUUUCAUAUAAAUACUUUGUUUCUUAAUAAAUGUAUUCCAAUACAUUUUAUACUUUUUAUAUAUGAAAUAUUUUCUUCUUCUUUUUUUUUUUUUUUUUUUUUUUGCUUUUUAGGGCCACACCCAUGGCAUAUGGACGUUCCCAGGCUAGGAGUCAAAUUGGAGGUGCAGCUGCCAGCCACAGCUACAGGCACAGCAAUGCCAGAUCCUAUAACCAAUUAACUGAGGCCAGGGAUUGAACCCAUAUCUUCAUGGAUACUAGUUGGGUUCAUAAUCCACUGAGCCACAAUGGAACUCCCAGUUAUAUUUUCUAAUUGGUUAUGAUUUGUGAUAGGGAAACUCCUGAUUUUUUACUUCUCAACAUUAAUAUUGCAAUAGCAAUCUUACUUAUUAUUUCUUAUUUUUUUCUGGUACAUUCUGUUAGUUUAUUCAUUUACCUUUUGAAGAUAAAGAAUUACGUUGUUAUCCAGUAAUGAGAACUGUGGUAACUUCUUUACAAUACUUAUCUACUCUGUUCUCUUGAACACUGGCUCACUGGCUCGGAUGGGAAUUAAUCUUAAAUUUCAAUUUUAGGCUUUGAGCUUUAAUUCACCCAAAGGAACCUUUUAUCAUAAUAUUAAUCUCCCCACCAAAGUGGUUGGUUCGAAGAUGAGUAAUACAGGCCCAAACGCAAUGCGGCAUGGCACAUCACCGGUCACAGUGAAUUUUUUUUUUUUUUUAGGGUUUGACAUGUGAUUAAAGAGUUUCAAGAUUUUCAGAAGAGAAGUUUUCUCAUUUUCUGGACUUUGAGGUAUAAACACAUGGGAGGCCUGGGCCUCUGUGGCCAUUUUGCUCCCAGGAGAGAAAAUAGUCUAACACACAAAGGAACACAGAACUGAGUGAACUGAGAGAAAUCAAGCAUCAAAACUGAAACAAACCAUGCUUGAAAACAAAACCUAUCCUGCAACAUUAUAAGAGCAAAUACAUCCUCCUCUAUUUUUGGAAACCAGUGCACAUUAUUUGCAACCCAAAUUAUCCUAACAGAUAUACCUUGCCCAAUGUCAUAGGCAAGAAACACGCCUAAAACAGAAUGAUAAAGAAAGUUUGAAAAUAAAGGAUGUGGAAAAUUACACCAGGCAAAUGUAAGCAAACAGAAAGCAGAAAUGGCAGAAUCACAAUCAGAUAAGCAGAAUUCAAGAUCAAGACUGUUAAGCAGGGAAAAGAGGCAAAUUGUGACAUCUUCAAGUAUAAUUAGUGAAUUCCUGUACACCAAAAACUACAGCAGCAAAAUAUAUAAAGCAAAGCUCUGACAAAGACAGGUGUAAUCAUUAUAAAAAUCAUAGCCACAGUGGGGAAUUUUGCAUGAGAAUUUGAUGCAUCAAGCAGAUACAAAUAAGCAAGGUUAUGGAGAUAUAAAUAAUAGCAAAAAAAAGACAACCUAAAACAGAAAUAACAUGUUCUCUCUCUUCUUGACCUAAGAAAAUAUUGAAUCUAAUGAACAACCUACCAUUAGAAAGAGUCUAGGCCGAGUUCAUGUUACUGCAGAGUUUAACCUGCAAAAUAACAAAUAAAAGUUCAGAUAAUACUCCACACUAUCUCAGCUGUCACUGUACAACUUAAGAGCUGAAUAUAUUUAGAAAAUUUUAACAGAUUCUCUAGUUUCUCACCUCUUGACAACAUAUUCUUUGGCUUUCUCAUCCAAACCCUAGAAACCAAAUAUGAACUAUGGUAACUCUAUCUGAACUUCUGCUGUCUGAAUUCAGGCAAAUACAUUUGAAUGUGAGGAAAUACAUGCAAUCCCUGUUUUAACUAUCUUAGUCAAAACGUUCUGGACUCCCAGAAGUUCCCUUGUGGUGCAGUGGGGUAAGGAUCCAGCACCACCCUAGCUAUGACACAGGUCACAGCUGCGGCAGGUGUUUGAUCCCUGGCCCGAGAGCUUCUUCAUGCCAUGGGAGUGCAGAAGAAAAAAAUGUUCUGGACUCCCUACAAUGACUGAAAACUACCAAGAUGGUCUGUUAAGCUAGCACAGGAAUGCCCAAUUUAAAAAUAUAAAAAAGCAAAGCAAAAAAAAAAAAAAAAUCUACUUAUGAAAGCAAAUGUUCUCAUAAAAUAUUAGCAUGUUAAAUACACCAAAUAAAAAGUAACAUAAUAUAAAAAGUAGAUGCAUGUCAGAAAAGAAUAAUUAUACUAUCAAUUCAAAGGAAAAAUAUCUGGAGUUCCCAUAGUGGCGCAGUGGAAGCGAAUCUGACUAGGAACCAUGAGCCACGACAGGAACUCCAUAUGAAACUUUUUAAAGAUGAGGAAUGAACCUGCGAGUGAUUUAAGUAUGUAUUAGAGUAGAAGUUUCUCCAACUGGAAGGGGGUUGCGGACAAGACUCUCCACUAAAUUUGGCUGCUUUAAACUUCCAUCCACCUUCUCUGAGUUGCCAUUCUUUCUAAAGUGGAGAGUAGAAGAAAGAAAAAAAAUAUACAACUAGUACUAAAAAUUACCCUGAGAAAGGAAUGUCUAAGCCACUCACCAAUGUCACCAUCACAACCCACCAUUGCUUUGGCAGCAGAGGCUUUGCUAAGAAGAACACAUUUUCUUUCGCAGGAAAAAAAAAAAAAAAAAAAAAA